rnacentral:rRNA from 1 species
CUACGGGCCGCUGCAGUGGGGAAUAUUGGACAAUGGGGGCAACCCUGAUCCAGCAAUGCCGCGUGUGUGAAGAAGGCCUGCGGGUUGUAAAGCACUUUCAAUAGGGAGGAAAAGCUUUGGGUUAAUACCCCGAAGUCUUGACGUUACCUUUAGAAGAAGCACCGGCUAACUCUGUGCCAGCAGCCGCGGUAAUACAGAGGGUGCGAGCGUUAAUCGGAAUUACUGGGCGUAAAGCGCGCGUAGGCGGUUUGAUAAGUCAGAUGUGAAAGCCCCGGGCUUAACCUGGGAACUGCAUUUGAUACUGUCAAACUAGAGUAUGGUAGAGGGUAGUAGAAUUCCUGGUGUAGCGGUGAAAUGCGUAGAUAUCAGGAGGAAUACCAGUGGCGAAGGCGGCUACCUGGACCAAUACUGACGCUGAGGUGCGAAAGCGUGGGGAGCAAACAGGACUAGAUACCCCCGUAGUC